rnacentral:rRNA from 1 species
AUACGUAGGUGGCGAGCGUUGUCCGGAUUUACUGGGCGUAAAGGGAGCGUAGGCGGAUUUUUAAGUGAGAUGCGAAAUACCCGGGCUCAACUUGGGUGCUGCAUUUCAAACUGGAAGUCUAGAGUGCAGGAGAGGAGAGUGGAAUUCCUAGUGUAGCGGUGAAAUGCGUAGAGAUUAGGAAGAACACCAGUGGCGAAGGCGACUCUCUGGACUGAAACUGACGCUGAGGCUCGAAAGCGUGGGGAGCAAACAGGAUUAGAUACCCUGGUAGUCCACGCCGUAAACGAUGACUACUAGGUGUAGGGGUUGUCAUGACCUCUGUGCCGCCGCAAACGCAUUAAGUAUUCCGCCUGGGGAGUACGGUCGCAAGAUUGAAACUUAAAGGAAUUGACGGGG